UACGGGGGGAGCGAGCGUUGUUCGGAAUCACUGGGCGUAAAGCGUGCGUAGGCGGAUUGACAAGUCAGAAGUGAAAGCCCAGGGCUCAACCCUGGAACUGCUUUUGAAACUGUCUUUCUAGAGUAUGGUAGAGGUUGGGAGAAUUCCUAGUGUAGAGGUGAAAUUCGUAGAUAUUAGGAGGAAUACCAGUGGCGUAGGCGCCCAACUGGACCAUUACUGACGCUCAGGCACGAAAGCGUGGGGAGCAAAC
rnacentral:rRNA from 1 species